UACGUAGGGUGCGAGCGUUGUCCGGAAUUAUUGGGCGUAAAGAGCUCGUAGGCGGUCCGUCACGUCGGGUGUGAAAAUCCAGGGCUCAACCCUGGACCUGCAUCCGAUACGGGCGGACUAGAGUUCGGUAGGGGAGACUGGAAUUCCUGGUGUAGCGGUGAAAUGCGCAGAUAUCAGGAGGAACACCGGUGGCGAAGGCGGGUCUCUGGGCCGAUACUGACGCUGAGGAGCGAAAGCGUGGGGAGCGAACAGG
rnacentral:rRNA from 1 species